AAAUUGAAGAGUUUGAUCAUGGCUCAGAUUGAACGCUGGCGGCAGGCCUAACACAUGCAAGUCGAGCGGUAACACAGAGAGCUUGCUCUCGGGUGACGAGCGGCGGACGGGUGAGUAAUGUCUGGGAAACUGCCUGAUGGAGGGGGAUAACUACUGGAAACGGUAGCUAAUACCGCAUAACGUCGCAAGACCAAAGUGGGGGACCUUCGGGCCUCAUGCCAUCAGAUGUGCCCAGAUGGGAUUAGCUAGUAGGUGGGGUAAUGGCUCACCUAGGCGACGAUCCCUAGCUGGUCUGAGAGGAUGACCAGCCACACUGGAACUGAGACACGGUCCAGACUCCUACGGGAGGCAGCAGUGGGGAAUAUUGCACAAUGGGCGCAAGCCUGAUGCAGCCAUGCCGCGUGUAUGAAGAAGGCCUUCGGGUUGUAAAGUACUUUCAGCGAGGAGGAAGGCGUUAAGGUUAAUAACCUUAGCGAUUGACGUUACUCGCAGAAGAAGCACCGGCUAACUCCGUGCCAGCAGCCGCGGUAAUACGGAGGGUGCAAGCGUUAAUCGGAAUUACUGGGCGUAAAGCGCACGCAGGCGGUCUGUCAAGUCGGAU
rnacentral:rRNA from 1 species